UACAGGGGGUGCAAACGUUGCUCGGAAUUAUUGGGCGUAAAGCGCGCGUAGGCGGCUGCUUAUGUCGGAUGUGAAAUCCCUCGGCUCAACUGAGGAAGUGCAUCCGAAACUGGGCAGCUUGAGUGCCAAAGAGGGUCGCGGAAUUCCCGGUGUAGAGGUGAAAUUCGUAGAUAUCGGGAGGAACACCGGUGGCGAAGGCGGCGACCUGGGUGGAUACUGACGCUGAGGCGCGAAAGCGUGGGGAGCAAAC
rnacentral:rRNA from 1 species